CCAGGGGGGAGGAGCUAGGCAUUCCCUGGAUAAAACUGGGGAUUUCUAGACAGAAGGGCAGCCUUUUCACAGGUUCUCCGAGAAGACACAGCAGCUACAUCUGCCAUCCCAAGAGGACUGCAGCUACUUCAAUUUAGACUUCUACCAGCACGCUGGCCAGUUUCUGUCCUGUGUGGUAUCCCCAGAUAUAAGUUUUUACACUACUUACAAGAAUCUUAAAGUCAUCAGAUGAUUUCUUGCUUCUCCUGAAAAUGCAUAUAAAUUAACACUAUUGCUGGAUGCUGAAACAAUAGAGGGUCUACUUUGCCAGUCGUUGGUUAAGUAUUUCCACUCCAGUGCUGCUGUUUAGAGGAUGACUCUUGGCCCACUAAGCUACCCAGAGAGCAAAAAAAAAA